AGGGGGACGAACAGUUGGAAACGACUGCUAAUACCGCAUACGAUCUAAUCUCGGCAUCGAGGAUAGAUGAAAGGUGGCCUCUACAUGUAAGCUAUCACUGAAGGAGGGGAUUGCGUCUGAUUAGCUAGUUGGAGGGAUAACGGCCCACCAAGGCGAUGAUCAGUAGCCGGUCUGAGAGGAUGAACGGCCACAUUGGGACUGAGACACGGCCCAGACUCCUACGGGAGGCAGCAUG
rnacentral:rRNA from 1 species